CGGCGGACGGGUGAGUAACACGUGGAUAACCUACCUAUAAGACUGGGAUAACUUCGGGAAACCGGAGCUAAUACCGGAUAAUAUAUUGAACCGCAUGGUUCAAUAGUGAAAGACGGUUUUGCUGUCACUUAUAGAUGGAUCCGCGCCGCAUUAGCUAGUUGGUAAGGUAACGGCUUACCAAGGCAACGAUGCGUAGCCGACCUGAGAGGGUGAUCGGCCACACUGGAGCUGAGACACGGUCCAG
rnacentral:rRNA from 1 species